UACGAAGGGGGCUAGCGUUGCUCGGAAUCACUGGGCGUAAAGCGCACGUAGGCGGAUUGUUAAGUCAGGGGUGAAAUCCUGGAGCUCAACUCCAGAACUGCCUUUGAUACUGGCGAUCUCGAGUCCGGGGAGAGGUGAGUGGAACUGCGAGUGUAGAGGUGAAAUUCGUAGAUAUUCGCAAGAACACCAGUGGCGAAGGCGGCUCACUGGCCCGGUACUGACGCUGAGGUGCGAAAGCGUGGGGAGCAAACAGG
rnacentral:rRNA from 1 species